GUUUUCUCCCCCUGCUCCCAUAACAUCUGCUCUCAGCAGCUUCUGUUUUCCAAGCCAUUAUCUUUUGUUCUCAUUCAUUUUCUAUUCCAUUAUUUCCCUCCAUGGCCUCUUUAAAAUACAAAUCUGAUCACAUUCCCCCUUAGCAUACAAUUACUCGGGACAGAAUCCAGACAGGCCGGCCUCGGGGGCCUGGGGGGCCUUUCCUGUCCGCCUUUCCGUCCUCCGCUCCUCCCCGCUGCCUCCAGGCAAUCUCGCCCCUCGCACAGGAUUGCUGGCGGCCGAGAAAACUGCCCGACUCUCUCUCACCAUCAUUCUCUUGCUGAAAAGGAGCACAGCUCUGCCUGUCCUUGAAGAUUCAGCUGAGACACUGGUCUGGGCAGCCUGCUAGGGUGGGCCAUCCUGGGUGGGCCUCCUCCCCGCAGCUCAGCCCGCCUGGCUGCGGGCACCUGGAGACCACUCCUCAGUAUCACUGUCAGGACCAGGAACGUCCCUCCCAGAGGGCCCCAACCUGUGCUUCCAGGGCCUGCACCAUCAGAGCAACAGCCAAGGGGAGGCCGGUUCCAAGAAGAGGAAUGUCGCGUGAACUUAGGCCGACAGACACCAAGGCAUGUUCUUUACCCCUAGUGCCACCUGGGAAGCCUAUUGCAUUGCCUGUAGGAUGAGUAUGUUGUUGUUCAUCAAUGCCUGGUGACAGAUACUCCAUCCGGGCAAGAACUACCACUCUUCUCUCUGUACCCUGACCAUCUCCCACAGGGCCUGACACAUAAUGUGUACUUAAAAAUAAAUUGUGAGGGUCUCCCCUGGCUCAGUGGUGAAGAAUCCACACGCCAGUGCAGAAGACACAGGUUCUAUCCCUGAUCUGAGAAGACCCCACGUGCCGCAGAGCAACAAAGCCCGUGGGCCACAACUCUUGAGCCUGUGCUCCAGAGCCUGGGAGCUGCAACCACUGAAGUCUGUGUGCCCUAGAGCCCGUGCUCCACAGCAAGAGACGUCGCCGCGGGGAGAAACCCCAGCACCACAGCUAGAGAGAAGCCCUCGCUCACCGUGACUAGCGAAAAGCCUGUGCUGCAGUGAAGACCCAGCAGAGCCAAAAGUAAAAAUAAAUAAAUUAAAAG
rnacentral:lncRNA from 1 species